rnacentral:rRNA from 1 species
CCUACGGGCGGCAGCAGUGGGGAAUAUUGGACAAUGGGGGGAACCCUGAUCCAGCCAUGCCGCGUGUGUGAAGAAGGCCCUCGGGUUGUAAAGCACUUUCAGUGAGGAAGAACGCCUGGUGGUUAAUACCCAUCAGGAAAGACAUCACUCACAGAAGAAGCACCGGCUAACUCCGUGCCAGCAGCCGCGGUAAUACGGAGGGGGCGAGCGUUAAUCGGAAUUACUGGGCGUAAAGCGCGCGUAGGUGGCUUGAUAAGCCGGUUGUGAAAGCCCCGGGCUCAACCUGGGAACGGCAUCCGGAACUGUCAAGCUAGAGUGCAGGAGAGGAAGGUAGAAUUCCCGGUGUAGCGGUGAAAUGCGUAGAGAUCGGGAGGAAUACCAGUGGCGAAGGCGGCCUUCUGGACUGACACUGACACUGAGGUGCGAAAGCGUGGGUAGCAAACAGGAUUAGAUACCCCUGUAGUC